GACGAACGCUUGCGGCGUGCUUAACACAUGCAAGUCGAACGGAAAGGCCCUGCUUUUGUGGGGUGCUCGAGUGGCGAACGGGUGAGUAACACGUGAGUAACCUGCCCUUGACUUUGGGAUAACUUCAGGAAACUGGGGCUAAUACCGGAUAGGAGCUCCUGCUGCAUGGUGGGGGUUGGAAAGUUUCGGCGGUUGGGGAUGGACUCGCGGCUUAUCAGCUUGUUGGUGGGGUAGUGGCUUACCAAGGCUUUGACGGGUAGCCGGCCUGAGAGGGUGACCGGCCACAUUGGGACUGAGAUACGGCCCAGACUCCUACGGGAGGCAGCAGUGGGGAAUAUUGCACAAUGGGCGGAAGCCUGAUGCAGCAACGCCGCGUGCGGGAUGACGGCCUUCGGGUUGUAAACCGCUUUCGCCUGUGACGAAGCGUGAGUGACGGUAAUGGGUAAAGAAGCACCGGCUAACUACGUGCCAGCAGCCGCGGUGAUACGUAGGGUGCGAGCGUUGUCCGGAUUUAUUGGGCGUAAAGGGCUCGUAGGUGGUUGAUCGCGUCGGAAGUGUAAUCUUGGGGCUUAACCCUGAGCGUGCUUUCGAUACGGGUUGACUUGAGGAAGGUAGGGGAGAAUGGAAUUCCUGGUGGAGCGGUGGAAUGCGCAGAUAUCAGGAGGAACACCAGUGGCGAAGGCGGUUCUCUGGGCCUUUCCUGACGCUGAGGAGCGAAAGCGUGGGGAGCGAACAGGCUUAGAUACCCUGGUAGUCCACGCUGUAAACGGUGGGUACUAGGUGUGGGGUCCAUUCCACGGGUUCCGUGCCGUAGCUAACGCUUUAAGUACCCCGCCUGGGGAGUACGGCCGCAAGGCUAAAACUCAAAGGAAUUGACGGGGCCCCGCACAAGCGGCGGAGCAUGCGGAUUAAUUCGAUGCAACGCGUAGAACCUUACCUGGGUUUGACAUGGAUCGGGAGUGCUCAGAGAUGGGUGUGCCUCUUUUGGGGUCGGUUCACAGGUGGUGCAUGCCUGUCGUCAGCUCGUGUCGUGAGAUGUUGGGUUAAGUCCCGCAACGAGCGCAACCCUUGUUCACUGUUGCCAGCACGUUAUGGUGGGGACUCAGUGGAGACCGCCGGGGUCAACUCGGAGGAAGGUGGGGAUGACGUCAAGUUCUCAUGCCCCUUAUGUCCAGGGCUUCACGCAUGCUACAAUGGCUGGUACAGAGAGUGGCGAGCCUGUGAGGGUGAGCGAAUCUCGGAAAGCCGGUCUCAGUUCGGAUUGGGGUCUGCAACUCGACCUCAUGAAGUCGGAGUCGCUAGUAAUCGCAGAUCAGCAACGCUGCGGUGAAUACGUUCCCGGGGCU
rnacentral:rRNA from 1 species